rnacentral:rRNA from 1 species
CUACAUGAAGCUGGAAUCGCUAGUAAUCGCGGAUCAGAAUGCCGCGGUGAAUACGUUCCCGGGUCUUGUACACACCGCCCGUCACACCAUGGGAGUCGGAAAUGCCCGAAGUCUGUGACCCAACCUUAGGGAGGGAGCAGCCGAAGGCAGGUCGGAUGACUGGGGUGAAGUCGUAACAAGGUAGC